AGAGGGAGACUAAAAUCCCUCAUAUAAUUACAGUAU
rnacentral:guide_RNA from 1 species